rnacentral:rRNA from 1 species
UACGUAGGGGGCAAGCGUUAUCCGGAUUCACUGGGUGUAAAGGGAGCGUAGACGGCGACGCAAGUCUGGAGUGAAAGCCCGGGGCCCAACCCCGGGACUGCUCUGGAAACUGCGGCGCUGGAGUACGGGAGGGGCAGGCGGAAUCCCUGGUGUAGCGGUGAAAUGCGUAGAUAUCAGGAGGAACACCGGCGGCGAAGGCGGCCUGCUGGACCGUGACUGACGUUGAGGCUCGAGAGCGUGGGGAGCAAACAGG